GUAACUUAAUUGGCGCAGUCGGUAGGAUCGCUCGUUCAAGUGUUCACGCGUAGAUCCAAUUCGCGAAAGUGAUUUCCCGCGCGAACGAAUAUCGAGUGGCUGACGAUUGGAGAACUACAACGGACGCACGAGUGAUACCUUUUUAUCAAAUAAAUUCUCGAGAUACGCUACAUUGAUUCCCAUCAAAUCUAGGAACAUUCAAGAUGCUUGAUCGUCAUAGUUUACCAUUGGUACCAGAAGAAAAGGACACCCAAUGAAGAAAAACCAAACAUCAGUUCAGCAGACAACCAUCAUCCCAACACAAUUGUAUCGGGACGAUCCAAACUUGAUGAGGGAGUAGUUAACGCAAGCAACAUCAUUUUCCCCACAGCAACAGAACCGAUCACUGUGGAACAGUUUAUCGGUAGCAUCAAUUCGCAAACGCAAGCGAAACAACAAUUUAGGACACCAACGUAAAACACCGAUUCGGACUCUGUACCUGACGCGACAACGGACUGGAUAGAAUGUGCAGCGUAAGGGCUUUAGGUAAAUGGCUAGGCUUCAUGAUGUAAAAUUGACAAUAAUAAAAUCAGUCUAA